CUCAAACACCUGGCUCAAACCGAGAGGGAUGCUAUGUUAGCUAGCUGGCUAUGACUAUCCAACACUGAAACUCUUCCAAGUCAAGCAGGAGAGGGUCCUUCAGGCCAUCCGGUGCAUAGACAUCCUGUUCCAGCGGGAGAUGAUCCUUCAGGCCAUCCGGUGCAUAGACAUCCUGUUCCAGCGGGAGAGGAUCCUUCAGGCCAUCCGGUGCAUAGACAUCCUGUUCCAGCGGGAGAGGAUCCUUCAGGCCAUCCGGUGCAUAGACAUCCUGUUCCAGCGGGAGAGGAUCCUUCAGGCCAUCCGGUGCAUAGACAUCCUGUUCCAGUGGGAGAGGAUCCUUCAGGCCAUCCGGUGCAUAGACAUCCUAUUCCAGCGGGAGAGGAUCCUUCAGGCCAUCCGGUGCAUAGACAUCCUGUUCCAGCAGGAGAGGAUCCUUCAGGCCAUCCGGUGCAUAGACAUCCUGUUCCAGCAGGAGAGGAUCCUUCAGGCCAUCCGGUGCAUAGACAUCCUAUUCCAGUGGGAUCCGAGUGUAAGCAUACCAUUUUAGAGACUACAGCACAUCCAGCCUGUGGACGAACAGACAUGAGGCAUGACAUGCGGAACAUCAGGCUCACCCCGCGAGAAGCAGUGCAGGAUCAACACCAUCCUGAGCAAGGAGAUCUGCUGGAAGUGAUGUACUCUCUCACUCUGGGGGUACUGACAGGUGGUGGGACGAGAACGUUGAUCCAGUGCCUCCCACCACCCAAAAAACCCCAGAUUGGAAUAAAACCUCAAGUGCCAACUUCGGGAGCAUGCGGUCCUUGAACAACUCCUCUAGUCCAGCAUUAUGAGUCUGCCAGAGGUUGUCACGCUGGAUAGGGAUGGUGAUGGAGGAUUUGAUGGUCCAACAAAGAAGCAGGUGUCCUUCCAGUGAUGUGGAACUACCUGGUGCUAGUAAGGAUGGUCUCCACGGAGGCUAUAAGACCCUCCCUCUUUGAUAUAGAAAUCCUUUGACUUCACUGCCUCUUCAAUGGUCAGGUUCCUUGCUUGCACCAUAGGGAUACUUCACCUCCACCACUGCUGUGUUGCCCACCAGACCAUCCGGUGAGGCACCCGGGAUCCCAGACCCUGUGGCCCAAAGCCCUGACCCCUGCACAGCCAUCCCUGUAGCCAUUUUUAAUGCCAUCCUCUUUGUUAUCUGUGCCCCACUUUACAGACAACACCCCAUCCAACGACUAAACACCUUGAAAUGCAUUUGUUGUAAGAAAGGUGCUAUAACCUUUAUUUAACUAGGUAAGUCAGUUAAGAACAAAUUCUUAUUUACAAUGACGGCUUACACUGGCCAAACCCGGACGACGCUGGGCCAAUUGUGCGCCGCCCUAUGGUACUCCCAAUCACGGCCGGUUGUGAUACAGCCUGAAUUCGAACCAGGGUGUCUGUAGUGACGCCUCAAGCACUGAGAUGCAGUGCCUUAGACCGCUGCGCCACUCUGCAUUACAGCUGAAGAAUAUUUAAGUGCAGUUUUCCAUAAACCUUUAAUUGAUAACUUGGGAUUUUUGAUAACUUGACAUAUCAAUUAUAUAUCGGAAAGGAUCCUAUACAUCAAGACUGUGAAUGAAUGUACCUCUCCGAAUAAAUAAAUACUGUGACUCUGAAGAUUUGUCUCUGGCCAAUAGUAUAAAUAAAUACUGUGCCUCUGGCCAAUAGAAUAAAUAAAUACUGUGCCUCUGAAGAUUUGUCUCUGGCCAAUAGAGGCUGGAUGUCUAAAAGUUCAUUCUGAAUGUCAAUAGAUUUUUUGAUUCAUUCUUAUCAAUG
rnacentral:lncRNA from 1 species